rnacentral:rRNA from 1 species
GACGAACGCUGGCGGCGUGCCUAAUACAUGCAAGUCGAACGAGUGGCGGACGGGUGAGUAAUGUCUGGGAAACUGCCCGAUGGAGGGGGAUAACUACUGGAAAUGGUAGCUAAUACCGCAUACCAUCGGAUGUGCCCAGAUGGGAUUAGCUCGUAGGUGGGGUAACGGCUCACCUAGGCGACGAUCCCUAGCUGGUCUGAGAGGAUGACCAGCCACACUGGAACUGAGGCACGGUGCAGACGCCUAAGGGAGGCAGCAGGUGGGAAUAUUGCUCAAUGGGCGCAAGCCUGAUGAAGGCAUGCCGCGUGUAUGAAGAAGGCCUGCGGGUUGUAAAGUACUGUCAGCGAGGAGGCGUUACUCGUGGAAGAAGGACCGGGUAACUCCGUGCCAGCAGCAGCGGUAAUUC